rnacentral:rRNA from 1 species
UACGUAGGUGGCAAGCGUUAUCCGGAUUUAUUGGGUGUAAAGGGCGUGUAGGCGGGAGCGCAAGUCAGAUGUGAAAACUCAGGGCUCAACCCUGAGCCUGCAUUCGAAACUGUGUUUCUUGAGUGCUGGAGAGGCAAUCGGAAUUCCGUGUGUAGCGGUGAAAUGCGUAGAUAUACGGAGGAACACCAGUGGCGAAGGCGGAUUGCUGGACAGUAACUGACGCUGAGGCGCGAAAGCGUGGGGAGCAAACAGG